GAUGAACGCUAGCGGCAGGCCUAAUACAUGCAAGUCGAGGGGUAGGAGAGGCUUGCUUCUUUGAGACCGGCGCACGGGUGCGUAACGCGUAUGCAACCUACCAUCAUCUGGGGGAUAGCCCGGAGAAAUCCGGAUUAAUACCGCAUAAAAUCACAGGAUGGCAUUAUCCAAUGAUCAAACAUUUAUGGGAUGGAGAUGGGCAUGCGUGUCAUUAGCUAGUUGGCGGGGUAACGGCCCACCAAGGCGACGAUGACUAGGUGAUCUGAGAGGAUGGCCCCCCACACUGGUACUGAGACACUGACCAGACUCCUACGGGAGGCAGCAGUAAGGAAUAUUGGUCAAUGGAGGCAACUCUGAACCAGCCAUGCCGCGUGCAGGAAGACUGCCCUAUGGGUUGUAAACUGCUUUUAUUCGGGAAUAAACCUUAUUACGUGUAAUAAGCUGAAUGUACCGAAGGAAUAAGGAUCGGCUAACUCCGUGCCAGCAGCCGCGGUAA
rnacentral:rRNA from 1 species